rnacentral:rRNA from 1 species
UUUAGAGGAAGUAAAAGUCGUAACAAGGUCUCCGUUGGUGAACCAGCGGAGGGAUCAUUACUGAGUUACCGCUCUAUAACCCUUUGUGAACAUACCUACAACUGUUGCUUCGGCGGGUAGGCCGUCCCCUGAAAAGGACGCCUCCCGGCCCGGACCGGACCCCCCCGCGGGACCGGACCCGGCGCCCGCCGGAGGAUAACCAAACUCUAUUGUAACGACGUUUCUUCUGAGUGGCAUAAGCAAAAUAAUCAAAACUUUUAACAACGGAUCUCUUGGUUCUGGCAUCGAUGAAGAACGCAGCGAAAUGCGAUAAGUAAUGUGAAUUGCCGAAUUCAGGUGAAUCAUCGAAUCUUUGAACGCACCAUUGCGCCCGCCCAGCAUUCUGGCGGGCAUGCCUGUUCGAGCGUCAUUUCAACCCUCAAGCUUCUGGCUUGGUUGUUGGGGCUCUACGGUCGACGUAGGCCCUCAAAGGUAGUGGCGGACCCUCCCGGGAGCCUCCUUUGCGUAGUAACAUUUCGUCUCGCACUGGGAUCCGGAGGACUCUUGCCGUAAAACCCCCCAAUUUUCCAAAGGUUGACCUCGGAUCAGGUAGGAAUACCCGCUGAACUUAAGCAUAUCAAUAAGCGGAGGAAAAGAAACCAACAGGGAUUGCCCCAGUAACGGCGAGUGAAGCGGCAACAGCUCAAAUUUGAAAUCUGGCCCCAGGCCCGAGUUGUAAUUUGCAGAGGAUGCUUUUUGGCGCGGUGCCUUCCGA